CUUUUGUGGGGUGCUCGAGUGGCGAACGGGUGAGUAACACGUGAGUAACCUGCCCUUGACUUUGGGAUAACUUCAGGAAACUGGGGCUAAUACCGGAUAGGAGCUCCUGCUGCAUGGUGGGGGUUGGAAAGUUUCGGCGGUUGGGGAUGGACUCGCGGCUUAUCAGCUUGUUGGUGGGGUAGUGGCUUACCAAGGCUUUGACGGGUAGCCGGCCUGAGAGGGUGACCGGCCACAUUGGGACUGAGAUACGGCCCAG
rnacentral:rRNA from 1 species